UACGUAGGUGGCAAGCGUUGUCCGGAUUUACUGGGCGUAAAGAGCGCGCAGGCGGCUGGGCAAGUCUGACGUGAAAUCCCUUGGCUCAACCAAGGAACUGCGUCUUAAACUGCCCGGCUUGAGUCCGGGAGAGGGUAGUGGAAUUCCCAGUGUAGCGGUGAAAUGCGUAGAUAUUGGGAGGAACACCGGUGGCGAAGGCGGCUACCUGGACCGGUACUGACGCUGAGGCGCGAAAGCUAGGGUAGCAAACAGG
rnacentral:rRNA from 1 species